AUACGGAGGGUGCAAGCGUUAUUCGGAAUCACUGGGCGUAAAGGACGCGUAGGCGGGUUGGCAAGUCAGAUGUGAAAUCCUACAGCUUAACUGUAGAACUGCAUUUGAAACUGCUAACCUAGAGUAUGGGAGGGGGAGAUGGAAUUAGUGGUGUAGGGGUAAAAUCCGUAGAUAUCCCUAGGAAUACCGAAAGCGAAGGCGAUCUCCUGGAACAUAACUGACGCUAAGGCGUGAAAGCGUGGGGAGCAAACAGGAUUAGAUACCCUAGUAGUCC
rnacentral:rRNA from 1 species